rnacentral:tRNA from 1 species
UCCCUUGUAGCUCAGUCGGUAAAGAAUCUGCCUGCAGUGCAGAAGACCUGGGUUCGAUUCCUGGGUCAGGAA